rnacentral:rRNA from 1 species
AGUAACGCGUAGGAAUCUGCCUCAUAGUGGGGGACAACGUGGGGAAACCCACGCUAAUACCGCAUACGUCCUACGGGGGAAAGGAGGGGAUCUUCGGACCUUUCGCUAUGAGAUGAGCCUGCGUUGGAUUAGCUAGUUGGUAGGGUAAAGGCCUACCAAGGCGACGAUCUAUAGCUGGUCUGAGAGGACGAUCAGCCACACUGGGACUGAGACACGGCCCAGACUCCUACGGGAGGCAGCAGUGGGGAAUAUUGGACAAUGGGGGAAACCCUGAUCCAGCGACGCCGCGUGUGUGAAGAAGGCCUGCGGGUUGUAAAGCACUUUUAGUGGGGACAAAAAGCUACGGACUAAUACUCUGUGGUCUUGAUUUAACUCACAGAAAAAGCACCGGCUAACUCUGUGCCAGCAGCCGCGGUAAUACAGAGGGUGCGAGCGUUAAUCGGAAUUACUGGGCGUAAAGCGCGCGUAGACGGUUUUGUAAGUCAGGUGUGAAAUCCCCGGGCUCAACCUGGGAACUGCAUUUGAUACUGCAUGGCUAGAGUACGGUAGAGGGAAGCGGAAUUUCCGGUGUAGCGGUGAAAUGCGUAGAGAUCGGAAGGAACACCAGUGG